UCCAGAAGAACCAUGAAGUGCCUUACCAAACAUAGGGAAAGAUAAGUUUAUUAUAGGAAUUUUGGGUAGUGUUGAGUUUAGGAGAAAUUGAAAUGAAGUUUGAAAAUGUUUUGAUAGGUUCACAAGAAAGCAAGGCUGUAUGUAAAGGGGUCUACAUUACAUCUGGACUGCAACAUGGACCCAGGGUGCUGUUUUAUUGAAAACUAAAAAGUUUAAAUAGGACUACUCCCUAAAUCAUUAAGCCCCCAGGACAAUGAGAUUCUGACCAACAUCAAGUAAUCUUAGGAACAAAGCCUCAGGUCUGUUGAACCCAGAGAUGGAUUUUUGGUCAAAAUAGAGAUAACAUGUAGGCCUCAGCUGUGUUUCAGCUCCAGAACAAUCCCACUGACCACAUCCUAGAGAAAACAGAUAAAGCAAUGCUAUGACUGACAUUAGGACUAGAUGCACUGAUCAAAUACCCCCUACCCUAGCAAUGACCAAUCAGUGGAAACUUGACCCUAACUCUCCUAGUCACCAAAAUUAAUGACUUAUCGUCUGAUUAACCCAUUCCGUGAUGCCAUCGGGAGCCAGGUCUUUGAGAAUUAGCUGACCUGUGACUCUGGAUAUGGGCCACUUAAAAUAAACCCUUACUUUCUUUGCUACAAA